rnacentral:rRNA from 1 species
UACAGAGACUGCAAGCGUUAUUCGGAUUCACUGGGCGUAAAGGGUGCGCAGGCGGUUGGGUGUGGUCAGAUGUGAAAUCCCGAGGCUCAACCUCGGAACUGCGUCUGAAAACUACUCGACUAGAGUACUGGAGAGGGUAACGGAAUUCACGGUGUAGCAGUGAAAUGCGUAGAUAUCGUGAGGAACACCAGAGGCGAAGGCGGUUACCUGGACAGUUCCUGACACUGAGACACGAAGGCCAGGGGAGCAAACGGG